CAUGUCCUUUUGACUAUAAUUUAAGGUCUGAUCUGCUCGAUGAUUGAUUAAAUUGCCGCAGUAUUAUAACUGUGCUAAGGUAGCAUAAUCAUUAGUUUUUUAAUUGAAAACUGGAAUGAAUGGUAGGACGAAAUGAUUUUUGUCUCAUUUAAAAGUUAUUUUUAAUUUUAUUUUUAAGUGAAAAAGCUUAAAUAUUUUUAAAAGACGAGAAGACCCUAUAGAGUUUUACAUUAUUUAGUUUUUAGAAAUUUUAUUUAAUGUUUAUUUGGGGUGACUUAAAGAUUAGAAAAAUUCUUUAAAUUUUAUAUUGAUGAUUAUUAAUUUCAAAUUUUAGUAUUUUUAAAAAUAAAAAAAUUACCUUAGGGAUAACAGCGUAAUUUUUCUUUAAAGUUCGUAUUGUAAGAGAAGUUUGCGACCUCGAUGUUGGAUUAAAAUUAAUUGUUGGCGCAAUAGCUGAUAAAUUAGGUCUGUUCGACCUUUAAAAUUUUACAUGAUCUGAGUUUAGACCGGCGUGAGCCAGGUCGGAUUCUAUCUUUAAUAGGUUAGUUUAUUUUAGUACGAAAGGACCAAAUAAAUGUUAUAUGUUAACUA
rnacentral:rRNA from 1 species